rnacentral:rRNA from 1 species
GACAGUGUCAGGCGGGGAGUUUGACUGGGGCGGUACAUCUGUUAAAUAAUAACGCAGGUGUCCUAAGGUUAGCUCAGUGAGGACAGAAACCUCACGUAGAGUAAAAGGGCAAAAGCUAACUUGAUCUAUGACCUUCAGUACUGGUAUAGACCGCGAAAGCGUGGCCUAUCGAUCCUUUUGUUGUUCUUAAACGGUUGACAGUUUCAAGCAAGAGGUGUCAGAAAAGUUACCACAGGGAUAACUGGUAGCGCUAAGGCUUAAUGUGGUUGUCGCAAGGCAAUCAAUGUAAAAACAUUAAGCGGUGCAGCGUUACAAACCUUGGUGUUUAGUAGUGUCGAUGUAGUAUAUAGCCGGGCAACUGGUUGUAUGCUGCUUUCGGCCUAGCGUACAAGUCCCAUUGACUUGGGCUUAUUCUUAAUUGAGAUGUCUGCGGGUUUGGGGCAACUUAGAUCCGUGGAUGAGCCAAAGAGGGUGAAAGUCCCUUAAUGCGCAGGUAUUGAUGCUACGAAUCAGGGCAGUGGCGUCUGGUAAAACAGGCGUUGCGAUUUGUUAGAGUCGGGUUGCUUGAGAGUGCAACCUAAAGAGCGAGGUAAACUGCUCGUAAGGCUAUGUAAAUACGGCUACGACACCGAUAGCAAACAAGUACCGUGAGGGAAAGUUGCAAAGUACUUUGAAGAGAGAGUUAAACAGGGCGUGAAACCGCUAGCUGGUAAAACCCGUCUUGAAACACGGACCAAGGAGUGUAGGAGGGUUGUGUUGGUAGCGUUGAAGGCUAUGAGGGAGUGAUCCUGGCUGGAGCUGCCAAUAGUACAGAUCUUGGUGGUAGUAGCAAAUACUCAAGUGAGACCCUUGAGGGCCAAUGUGGAGAAGGGUUCCAUGCUAACAGCAAUUGGACAUGGGUCAGUCGGUGAAUUAGGUUAAUAUUCCUAAACCAAGAUGAGGAGAUGGCACGGACCACGGGAAUCCGACUGUCUAAUUAAAACAAAGCAUUGCGAUGGCCUAAGAUUGUGGUGUUGACGCAAUGUGAUUUCUGCCCAGUGCUAUGAAUGUCACAGUGAAGAAAUUCAUCUAAGCGCUAGUAACGGCGGGAGUAACUAUGACUCUCUUGUGGUAGCCAAAUGCCUCGUCAUCUAAUUAGUGACGCGCAUGAAUGGAUUAACGAGAUUCCCACUGUCCCUAUCUACUACCUAGCGAAACCACAGCCAAGGGAACGGGCUUGGCAAAAUCAGCGGGGAAAGAAGACCCUGUUGAGCUUGACUCUAGUCUGGCUUUACGCGGUGUAUGUAUUUGUAGCGUAAAAGUUACGGGUGCAUACGGUUCGAGUGGAGCCACGAAGUCGUUUCGUAGAAUACGAGAUGCGAAUUCAGCUAAGGUCCGCAAAGGCCUUAACGUAUUUUUGCUUGUCUCGCUAUUGUAAGCGUACACUGCAACCAAUUAGACGGCUAAACGUGGAACUAGUGUGCAAGUAAACAGGGAAACUUGUUGCUUGUGGACGCCAAAAUUUGUGUAUUUACUGUAGGUAGCUUGGUUGAGAUCUUGUAUUUCUUCUGGGUGUAUGACAUUCGUAAAUGCGUGAACUACGUUUGGGUACUGAUUGGCAAAAUGAAAAUCGAAUCGUAAGGUUCGUGCAUUCAUAGAAUGCAACUAGCAUCGUAUUUGAGUACAGCUGCAUGCUGUUUGUAUAAGCUUGAUAUUUUUGAAUUCAGGCACGUAUAUUGUCAAUGGGGCUUGCUUUGUUGAUAUAUGCGCUGUUUCCUGUCUAAUCGGGUAUUAACUUUGCAGGCAGUUUAUUGUAGUUGCUGCGAUAGCAUUGAAUACGAUAGUUAGUUUGCGAGUAUUGGCAGUGAGUAGGUCGGCUUUCCACACGCGUUGAAUUAUUGUUCGUAUCAAAUGCGAUUAGCUAUGAUUCAACGCCUAAGAGAAUGGCGAAAGCUAUUUCUGAAUCAAAGGCAGUGUAAUCCAAACACAGUAAAUACUGUUUGCCGUAAAUCAAAAUUAUAUAUCUAAAAUAGUUAUUCUCAAUAUAUAUAUAGUAUUAAUAAUUGAUACUGUUUGUGUAUGUAAUGUGUGUGUGUGUGUUAUAUAUAUAUAUAACACCGUUUAUAUUAAUGUGCUUCGCGCAUAUAAAGCCGAACAUAAACACACACAAACGCGUUCAAAUACGAAAGUAACUGUGCGCGAUUGUGUGUUUGUAAGCCAGCAAGCAUCAGCAAUAUAUGCGUAUAUAUGCACAUAUCAAAAAAUAUACAAACACCAAAAGAGUUGGUAAUAUAUAUAAUAAUGAUAUUGUGAAUGCAAAAAAUAUUUUAUGUAUAAAAAAAAUAUGAAUGGCAAAUAAGUGUGCAAUGAACACUGCAUGACUCGAAAGGUGCUAUUUGUGCGGUUAUUCAUUUAGCUGUGCAAGUAGCAUUGGCGGUAACGCAAACAAGGCUCUGAGGAUCGAGUUGGUCGGGCUGUAUGCGAGAUACUUUCAUGAGUUUGCAUCUGUGCUGGACCUUUAUCUGUUGUAAAUGCCCUCGGGUGUUUACGGUAAUAUCGGAUCGGCAUGGAUCGCUCGUUUGUUGAUUGCUACAGCUACGCUGGUGGUGUUUGAGCAUGGGCAACUGUGUUUGAAUGCUAUCAAUAAAAAGCGUCAUCGGCUAACAACUAACGAUCGAAUCAGAACUCAAGCUCUCGCAGAAAUGUGAAUCAGUUUCAUCUGGUAAAGCGAAUGAUUAGAGGCCUUGGGAGCGAAACGCUCUCAACCUAUUCUCAAACUUUAAAUGGGUGAGAUGUACGACGUACUUAACUGACGCCGUAUUCAUACAGAAUGUAUUGAGAGCUUAGUGGGCCAUUUUUGGUAAGCAGAACUGGCGAUGCGGGAUGAACCGAAAGUGAAGUUAAGGUUGCCGAUAAUGGUGCUAACAAUUUGUGCACUAGCUACACUCAUGAGAUCCCAUGAAAGGUGUAAGUUGCUAAAGACAGCAAGGACGUGGCCAUGGAAGUCGGAAACAUCUAAGGAGUGUGUAACAACUCACUUGCCGAAGCAACUUGCCCUGAAAAUGGAAGCAGCUCGAGUGUUGAACCUAUACUUCACUCUAGUUAAGUAUCGAGUCGAUCGGUCUUGAUUAGGCCAGACAUUGAGAGUUGUAAAAAACGUCUCAAAAAUAAAUAUAAAUGACGGCAAAGUGAAAUCAAAUUAUAUGUGAUCUGAAGUCUAUAAAAAUGGCUUACAGCGCAACAUAUGCCCAUUCGUAUGGUUAUACGCGCAAGUGUUAACCGGGUGGAGCAAAGAGAUACUUGACUGGUAUUCUCUCACUUGGCCGUACCCAUAUCCGCAGCAGGUCUCCAAGGUUAACAGCCUCUGGUCACUUAGGAUAAUGUAGGUAAGGGAAGUCGGCAAAACGGAUCCGUAACUUCGGGAUAAGGAUUGUGAAGAGACAUGAGAGGUGUAGCAUAGGUGGGAGAUAUACAUCGGGCAACUGGUGUGUAUUCGCAAGUGAAAUACCACUACUUUCAUUGUUUCUUUACUGA